AAUCAGCCAAAAAAAAAGAAAAACAAAAGUUUAUUCCGAAUUUCUCAUCAAUGGACGGACGUUCUGGAGAAUCGAUGGCCGUUUGUUUUUUGCAGGCCAAACAUUUGCCAGUUGCUGUUAAGAUUUUAUGCGGUAAAGUUGGUCAAAAGUGCCUAACGAGUGCGUGCGGUUAUCAUCAUCGGCCAUUGCUCAGUGGUGAUGUUUGAGAGUGUGUUUGGAAAAAUAAAUAAAAAAAAAGAAAUGGAUUGGGAAUAAGCAUUUAGCCAGUAACCCUGUGAAGAAAACGGAAAGCCAAGAAAAUUUUGUUUUCUUUUGAAAAAUCAUAAAUUAAAAGAAAACCAAUGAAUGUGUAUUCAAAGAAAAAGUGAAAAAAAUCGAGUGCAAAAAAUUAAUAACCCGAAAAAUUGUAUCGAGGAAAAAAUAAAUUUUUGGGAAAGCAAAGAAAAAAAGAUUCAGCGGCUGAAAUUCAACAAUUACACUCAAAUAAAAAUCUUAGUUAAUUACUUCAAAUGAAAUUUAUAUAUAAACCAAUAUAUAAUAUAACUACGGUAUAUAACAUUUAAUUAAAUAAAUUAUAUAAAUUAGUAAUAUUCGUUAAACUGAAAGCUGUGUUAAAAAUAUUUUAUUAAAUAGAAAUAAUAAACAUUCAAAAUUCAAAAAAACCAAAAUCUUUAAAUUUUUAAAGUUAAUCAUUAAAUCUUCCAUUAAAUGAUAUUAAAAAAAAACAUAAAAUACAAUACGUUUUCAAAUCAAAUUAUAUAACAAAAAAUAAAAAUAUACUCAACAACAAGCCUAAGUAGUGAUAUUAAAAAAUCUCUUUUUUUUCAAAACUUCAAUAUAAUGCCUAUAUACAAAAAAUAUAUAUUUGAAAAUCUUUGAUAAAUAACAAAAACAAAAUAGAACAUUUUCAAACAAAUAGCGUUGUGAACCAAACGAAAAAUAUCCUUUUUCUUUUUUGUAAAUCCAUCAAGUGAGAAAGUGGAAACAAGCCUGUCAACCUACCCCCCAAUGGCUAGGCAAAAAUAAUAUUCUAAACAUAACCUUAACCUUAAACUUGACAACAACAAAGAAAAAGGACAAAACCGAGAAGACAAAAGGAAACAAAAAAAACACAAAUCGAAGGCAACCCAGAGAACUGCAAACGUCAGUUGAAAAAAAAAAAUAAUCUUUUGGGGCCCCGACAACAGUGCACUGCAGUUCACAUUCAUUGGCUGACGUACAGUACAUUUUUGGCCGAGAACCAAAAAAAAAACCGAAGCCCAGUUAUCAGCACCCAUCCUUUCUAGGCCAUCACUGGGCUAGGCAACAAUUACAUUACCAAUCGAAGC